ACGCUCGACACCUACGGGAGGCAGCAGUGAGGAAUAUUGGUCAAUGGGCGCUAGCCUGAACCAGCCAAGUAGCGUGAAGGAUGAAGGCUCUAUGGGUCGUAAACUUCUUUUAUAUAAGAAUAAAGUGCAGUAUGUAUACUGUUUUGUAUGUAUUAUAUGAAUAAGGAUCGGCUAACUCCGUGCCAGCAGCUGCGGUAAUCUGAGCGGCUGGCAAGGC
rnacentral:rRNA from 1 species